GAGUUUGAUCAUGGCUCAGAUUGAACGCUGGCGGUAGGCUUAACACAUGCAAGUCGUGCGAGAAAGUAUCUUCGGAUAUGAGUAGAGCGGCGGACGGGUGAGUAACGCGUAGGUAUCUGCCCUUUGGCCUGGAAUAACACGAGGAAACUUGUGCUAAUACCGGAUAAGUCUUUACGGAGAAAGCUUUAUGCACCAUUGGAUGAGCCUGCACUUGAUUAGUUUGUUGGUAGGGUAAUGGCCUACCAAGACUGUGAUCAAUAGCUGAUUUGAGAGGAUGAUCAGCCACAUUGGGACUGAGACACGGCCCAAACUCCUACGGGAGGCAGCAGUGGGGAAUCUUGCACAAUGGAGGAAACUCUGAUGCAGCGAUGCCGCGUGAGUGAAGAAGGCCUUUGGGUUGUAAAGCUCUUUCGUCGGGGAAGAAAAUGACUGUACCCGAAUAAGAAGGUCCGGCUAACUUCGUGCCAGCAGCCGCGGUAAUACGAAGGGACCUAGCGUAGUUCGGAAUUACUGGGCUUAAAGAGUUCGUAGGUGGUUGAAAAAGUUGGUGGUGAAAUCCCAGAGCUUAACUCUGGAACUGCCAUCAAAACUUUUCAGCUAGAGUUUGAUAGAGGAAAGCAGAAUUUCUAGUGUAGAGGUGAAAUUCGUAGAUAUUAGAAAGAUACCAAUUGCGAAGGCAGCUUUCUGGAUCAUUACUGACACUGAGGAACGAAAGCAUGGGUAGCGAAGAGGAUUAGAUACCCUCGUAGUCCAUGCCGCAAACGAUGUGUGUUAGACGUUGGAAAUUUAUUUUCAGUGUCGCAGGGAAACCGAUAAACACACCGCCUGGGGAGUACGACCGCAAGGUUAAAACUCAAAUGAAUUGACGGGGACCCGCACAAGUAGUGGAGCAUGUGGUUUAAUUCGAAGAUACGCGCAGAACCUUACCAACACUUGACAUGUUCGUCGCGACUCUAAGAGAUUAGAGUUUUCGGUUCGGCCGGACGAAACACAGGUGCUGCAUGGCUGUCGUCAGCUCGUGUCGUGAGAUGUUGGGUUAAGUCCCGCAACGAGCGCAACCCUCACUUUUAGUUGCCAUCAUUAAGUUGGGCACUCUGAAAGAACUGCCAGUGAUAAGCUGGAGGAAGGUGGGGAUGACGUCAAGUCCUCAUGGCCCUUACGUGUUGGGCUACACACGUGCUACAAUGGCAUCUACAACAGGAAGCAAGACGGCAACGUUAAGCAAAUCCCGAAAAGAUGCCUCAGUUCGGAUUGCACUCUGCAACUCGAGUGCACGAAGCUGGAAUUACUAGUAAUCGUGGAUCAGCGUGCCACGGUGAAUGCGUUCCCGGGUCUUGUACACACCGCCCGUCACACCAUGGGAGUUGGUUCUACCUUAAGGCAAGGUUUCAAACCCUUGACCACGGUAUAGUCAGCGACUGGGGUGAAGUCGUAACAAGGUAACC
rnacentral:rRNA from 1 species